GAGUCUCAGCUUCACGAUCUGUCCUUCCAGUGAGCACUCAGGGCUGAUUUCCUUAAGAAUGGAUAGGUUUGAUCUUUUUGCAGUCCAUGGGACUCUCAAGAGUCUCCUCCAGCACCAGAAUUCAAAAGCAUCAAUUCUUUAGCGAUCAGCCUUCUUUGUGGUCCAGCUCUCACUUCCAUACAUCACUACUGGGAAAACCAUAGCUUUAACUAUACUGACCUUUGUUGGCAAGGUGAUGUGAGAACACAGCUAUUUAAUAAAAAGUCCAUCAGCAGCUGGAGAUUGACUGCCCAUAAAAAAUGUGUUUUGCCUUCCAUGUGCCAGAGGGGAAAGGUUUUGAACCAGAGGAUCCAAUGUCCAGACUUAGCUGUCUUCAUUCCCACAGCAACCGCCUUCUGCUGACCUAACUAGCAAAUUUUAUUUUCACUUGAGAUUUUCAGAAGCAUGGUUCUAGAUCUGUUUUGACUGCCCUGAGGUUCUCGAAAAUGAACUUGCUUACAAUGAAAGCUAAGGUUCCUAGGAAAUUCUGCGGCAGGUACCCAUUAUCCGUGGCGAAUUCCUUGCUUGUGUGUGAUUGCAAAAGUCGAACGGCCAGGAAGUAACAUCUGGUCUUGUAAGUCUGGAGGACCCUGUGUUGAUGAGAUCACAGGGGAAAAAAGAGAUCUGGAAGGAAGUGCUGUUUCCCUGGCAUAUCACUAAAUCAGCUAAAUAGCAUACUAAUGUUUAAUCUGUUCACUGCUUGCUCCCCACGCACAAGCACCUUAAAUGGAGCAAAUUCCAUCCUGGGUUGUAUGUGUCGCCUUAAUCUCACAAACCCAUCUCUUGCUCUCACCUCUGACUCUCAACUUCUAGGAAGAAAUGACUCAGAAUUCUUUGCCUAGUGAAGGAAAAAAGCCCCUUCGCAGAGCCUUCUCUUGAUCGACGCUGACAAAGGACAGUAAGGGAUUUCAGUUUGGGCAAUUUCCUGCCUAUCUAGAAAUCUGUGGUUAGUUGAGAAGGUGGUGGGCAAGAACGGUGUGUGUGUGUGUGUGUGUGUGUGUGUGUGUGUGUGUUUAGGGGUCAAACACCACUGCCACGGCACAACUAGCUGGGGCUGAAAAGACACAACACAGCGCACUCAGCCCGCUAAGUUUGCUUUUGCUCUGAUAGAAUAAUCCCAUAAAACCCAAAGCGAGGUUGUAAAAACAUUUUCUGCAGAACGCCAUGUCCGCUAAUAAAGAACUGGAGCAGGGAAGGAUCUUGGCAAGAGGCAGAAGCAGCCGUGGACCACAUGUAAUGUUGCAUCUGGGGCCUCAGAAGCCCUGAGCUCCUUAAAGAUGCCCCAGAGAAGCUCAGAAGCUUUUAUGGUCAAGUGUGGGUUUUGUUAAAGUGCCCAAUGUUUUGUCAGAAGGUCUGCAAAUACUGCUGGUUAUUAAGUGCAGGAAACCCAACCGUGAGUCAUGGAUGUUUGACUACUGAGAGAAAAGGAUGGGCUGGAUGCCACGGAAUUCCAGGGCUCCAUUUCUACAGCAUCUCUAGAGUUAUGUUGGUGGAGAGACACACUUCUAAGUUUCCUGUGCACUGGUGCAGGGAAGAUGGAUGAGAUUUCCUCACUUCUUCCAUCCCUGCCAUUGCUGAGAGAACAGGCAUAUUGAUGGAAGAGUGUCCAUCUAGACUGUGCUUAACCAAAGGAUUGGAGCAAACGUCUCCUUCCUUGUUGGGUAUUCCUUUAGUACAUUUAUCUCCCACUUUUCUUCUUCUAACAAGGAACUCAGCUUGGUGUUCACUAGCCCUGGGUGAUAGGGUAUCUGGUUUUCAACAUCACAAUAUAUCACCAGCUAAAUAUCCAUAAAGAAUGAGUGAAAAGUGUCCUGAACAUCAGAAGUGGAAAGAGGUACCUGACACUGCACUGCUGUUCAUGGGGAACCAGUCUAGGCCACCACAACCUCCAGAUGUGGAGCCAAUGACUUACUGAUGGCAGUCUUGCUGGAUGAGAUCCUGGAGUAGUUCACUUGAUGUACAAAAGGGCACAAGAAGAGCUUGCUGGGGCCAGUGAAUCAUCUAGUCCAGCAUGCUGUUCUCACAGUGGCCAACCAGAUGCUUAUUUGGAAGCACACAAGCAAGUCCUGAGCACAACAGCACCUUCUCUGCUUGUGAUUUCUAGUAACCGGCAUUCAGAAGCAUAAUGCCUCCAAUAACCAGUGUUCAAAAUUAGCAUUUGCACCUGUCUAUCGACCACCUGUGACCAAGUGAAGAUGCCGGGGCACCAAGAUGGCACUUGACAUCUCCACCACCUGGGGAUCAUCCUGUAGAAUUCGAUCAGUUUAUCUGCACAACCGGAAUGAAUUUCUGGAAAUGCUUUUUCUGUGCAGAAAAUAAAUGAUAAAAAGAGGUAGGAAUAGGCCAAUAUAUACGUGGACUGUCCCCGGAUCGCGUCACUUUUCUUUUUUUCAGUUCUCAAAGUUCUUAACCUAGCUCAAGGUUGCCAUUUGAACCAGCCAGAUGUUUAACUUAUUUUUCAAAUGACGAACUGACGGUGAUUGGAUAUAAGACUUUAUAGAGCCGUCUUGCUCCUAAAUGGCAACUAGACAUUCCAUUUGAGUGACUGCAACCUUGGUUUAAGGAGCCAUUUGGCACCUAACUUAUAUAUAACACUGGUCUGAAUCGGUUGAAGUGGCUUGCUGCCAUUGAUGGCAAAUAUAUAGAGAGAGCAAAGGGUUAUUUUUUAGAAAGAAAGAACAUACCCUAAGUAUAGCUGCAAGCAGAAAUGUUAUAUAUUCAUUUAUUAGCUUUGGAUAUUGAUUAACCACCCAUCAAAUGUGUCCACCGGGGCGGUUUAUACUAACAAUAAAAUAGCUAUAUAGAUGACUAUUGGGAUGGAUGGACCAGUAUGUAUGGAUUGGGAGAACGGCUUGAUUGAUGAGAGAGAUGGAUGGACCCAAGUGUUGGGAAUUGAUUCAUGUGAGCCGAGCAGAAUGCAUUCAAGUUAAGACAUUUCUUGGAAGAGGAGAGACUGUUUGCCCUUUCUAUCUGCAGCCCAGAGUUCAGAAAUGUUGAAGCUGGUAGUUUGAGGUCAAUAACGUAUCAUUUAAGGCAGGGAGACCAGUUGAAAAGAGAGCCCCAUAAUAACGAGGCAUAACAAAUGAUUUGAGAAAAUGAAUUCAUCCUGUCCAGGGAAUCUGCCGGCAAUGGCAUCAUAAACCGCUCCUGCUCUUUGUGGCCUAUGAUCUCACCAGAAGGCUUCCCUCUACCAUGGGAUUAUUUCACUGCAUCCCAUCCAUUAUUGUCUCCAUAAUUGCUUCCACAGUGCUCUCAUAUGAGAGGAGAUUUCCUACAGCUGAGCACUUAGAUCUCCAACAGUUGUCACCCUCUGGGUCAACUUCCUCAAUCUUCUACAUUUUGUGCAGCUAUACGGGGGAUGGAGACAUUACAACAAAUAGAAAAUGCUAUAUAUACGUGUGUGUGUGUGUAUGCAAUAACGG